CCGAGUGAGGGCCCUCUGGGUCCAACCUCCCACCCGUGUUUAUCGUACCUUGUUGCUUCGGCGGGCCCGCCGCAAGGCCGCCGGGGGGCAUCUGCCCUCUGGCCCGCGCCCGCCGAAGACACCAUUGAACGCUGUCUGAAGAUUGCAGUCUGAGCAAUUAGUUAAAUAACUUA
rnacentral:misc_RNA from 1 species